rnacentral:rRNA from 1 species
AGGAUGAACGCUAGCGGCAGGCCUAAUACAUGCAAGUCGAACGAUACCUUGGGGCUUGCCCCUUGGAAAAGUGGCGCACGGGUGCGUAACGCGUAUGCAACCUACCUUCAUCUGGGGGAUAGCCCGGAGAAAUCCGGAUUAAUACCGCAUAAAAUCACAGUACGGCAUUGUACAAUGAUCAAACAUUUAUGGGAUGGAGAUGGGCAUGCGUGUCAUUAGCUAGUUGGCGGGGUAACGGCCCACCAAGGCGACGAUGACUA